rnacentral:tRNA from 2 species
GGGCUUGUGGCGUAAUCUGGCUAUCGCGCCCGACUGGCAGUCGGGAGACUUCGGGUUCAAAUCCCGACAAGUCCA